GAUGAACGCUGACAGAAUGCUUAACACAUGCAAGUCAACUUGAACUUCGGUUUGGGUGGCGGACGGGUGAGUAACGCGUAAAGAACUUACCUCACAGAUAGGGACAACAUUUGGAAACGAAUGCUAAUACUUGAUAUUAUGAUUUUAGGACAUCCUAGAAUUAUGAAAGCUAUAUGCGCUGUGAGAGAGCUAUGCGUCCCAUUAGCUAGUUGGAGAGGUAACGGCUCACCAAGGCGAUGAUGGGUAGCCGGCCUGAGAGGGUGAUCGGCCACAAGGGGACUGAGACACGGCCCUUACUCCUACGGGAGGCAGCAGUGGGGAAUAUUGGACAAUGGACUAAGAGUCUGAUCCAGCAAUUCUGUGUGCACGAUGAAGUUUUUCGGAAUGUAAAGUGCUUUCAGUUGGGAAGAAAAAAAUGACGGUACCAACAUAAGAAGUGACGGCUAAAUACGUGCCAGCAGCCGCGGUAAUACGUAUGUCACAAGCGUUAUCCGGAUUUAUUGGGCGUAAAGCGCGUCUAGGUGGUUAUGUAAGUCUGAUGUGAAAAUGCAGGGCUCAACUCUGUAUUGCGUUGGAAACUGUGUAACUAGAGUACUGGAGAGGUAAGCGGAACUACAAGUGUAGAGGUGAAAUUCGUAGAUAUUUGUAGGAAUGCCGAUGGGGAAGCCAGCUUACUGGACAGAUACUGACGCUGAAGCGCGAAAGCGUGGGUAGCAAACAGG
rnacentral:rRNA from 1 species